rnacentral:tRNA from 1 species
GUCCCUGUGGCUCAGUUGGUAGAGCAUGGAGUUUGCAACGCCAGCAUGGGUUGUGGGUUCGAUUCCCACGGGGGGCC